UCAUCCCAAAAGUGUUUGGUAAUUGUCACUCCUGUAUUGCACAUGCUAACUCUGGAUAAUAUACCUUUUUUAUUGCAACAGGCCAUCAGUCAUUCUUUAAGGACAGUCAUGAAGUUUGUUCUCUGUGUUCUCAAGGGAAAUCUAAAAUUUUCAUACAGACUUGCUCAUUGUUAUAUUUACUUUGGCUAGAGCCCCGCACACCCGUAACCAGAAGCAACCUUUUGUGUGUGUCAACACCGUUCUCCAGCGUUUUAGAAGUAUUAACCCCAUUUAACUCUCACAAGCUCAUUGGAUAAGUACUAUAAUUACACCUCGGAAACUCAUUCACGGAGAGCAACUUGUCCAAUGUGAUGGCGCUAGGAAGCGGCAAGGCUGAUUGGCGAGUCAAGGGAAAGGGCUGCGGGAAGCGGUAAUGCUGAGUGUGGAGUCAAAGAGAGGGCUGGGGGUGCUCAGUACCUAGAAAAAUGUCAAUCCCGGAUGAGCGACCCUAGCCCACCUCCAAGCUGGGACUCGCGAUCCGCCCCCAAACGCCAGGGCUCUGCCCAGCCAGAGGGAAAUGCAAAUGCCUCUACCCCUUGUCCUCCAUCCACCAUCACUUUUCGCCCUUAACACAUAGGGCUAGGACACCACUGGUCCCUCGCCUAGGCUAAGGAGGCCUAGAGUCGCUGCCAGAACUCAAGUCUCACCACCAUCUGGGGAAUAAUGGCCGCAACCUCCCCUGGAGCGGAAGUUCCUGUGACUCACUUCCCAGAACCCAGAACCACAUGUGAGACUCACCACCCGCACUGCUGAAGAGGAAGUGUUGUCCACGGCCCGGAACUUCUGGACUACACUUCCCAGAAUGCCAAAGCGGUCUAGGGCUACAGCCCCACUUGCCUGGAGUGGAAGUGCUUCCGACAACACCUCCCAGAAUCCUCUGCGGGAUCAUGCUUCCUCCCUACCCUAUUUCUUUUGGUUAAUUAAAUAUUACCUGAGUCACUUCUCCAGCGCUA